GUGCUUAUUUCAGCAGUACAUAUACUAAAAUUGGAAUGAUACAGAGAAGAUUAGGAUGCCCCCUGCACAAGGAUGACAUGCAAAUUUGUGAAGCAUUCCAUAUUUAA
ensembl:snRNA U6 U6 spliceosomal RNA